rnacentral:rRNA from 1 species
UACAUGGGGUGCAAACGUUGCUCGGAAUUAUUGGGCGUAAAGCGCACGUAGGCGGUUCGUUAAGUCGGAUGUGAAAGCCCUCGGCUCAACUGAGGAAGUGCACCCGAAACUGGCGAGCUUGAGUACGAAAGAGGAUCGCGGAAUUCCCGGUGUAGAGGUGAAAUUCGUAGAUAUUCGCAGGAACACCAGUGGCGAAGGCGGCUCACUGGUCCGAUACUGACGCUGAGGUGCGAAAGCGUGGGGAGCAAACAGG